UGGUUUCGGAGUGUUAAUACUUGUUGAAACAAAAUGGAUUAGCUCAAUAUGAUUUUUUUUUUAGUUUUUUACAUAUGUUAGGCUUAUCUAUUGUAUUUGAUUGUAUUUAUAGUUGUAUAGAGUGAAAAUUGUACAGGAGAAAACCUUGCUUCUACAAACAAUUCUUGUAUAGCCAUCGGAAAAUUAGCAUUCCAGGUAACACCAAUAUGUUGUUUACUCUUGAUGUAUGCUUGAACUUUUUGGUUAAGUACAAAAUCGUUAAUGACAAGAGCUAAAUAUAUAUUUCAUUAUCGUUAGGAAGUUUCAUCAAUUGUGACCAAUUUGUCUCUUCCUUCG
rnacentral:lncRNA from 1 species